AUCUUGUGAAAACUAGAAAGCGGCCCCACUUAAUUCCUGUUGUAGCCCCAGAGACUGAGAAGGUGGACAUACUGAGGCUAGCUGGAGUGGACAAAAAAAGUCUGUUCCAAGAGGUU